rnacentral:lncRNA from 1 species
AUGAUAAAGAGACCGCUGGGUCUACAGCUGGGUAGCAACUAUGUAGUACCACAGGCUUGAUGUGGCCAGAGAGGAUAAUCAUUGUUCAUUUGUUUAAAAUCAAAAAUUCGAACAUUUCCUCUAACUGCUGAUCUUAAACUCACUAUCCAUAUAUUUUAGUCUUUCGGUAGGUUAAAUCUUAUAUUCUAACUAUUGUUUUGAAUUUAUUGGCAUUGCUUUAAUUUGCAUUUUUUAAGUUUUCAGAUUUCUGUUAAUGCACAUAAAACAUUACUAACCAUGGUUGGCUUCUUCAUCAGACUUGUAGUUCAGAUGUCAAAAGUAUUAUUUUGCAAAAUGUUUAUAUCCAGGGGUGAAAAUGCUGGCCUAGUAUCUUUUUUUAUUUUUUAUUUUUUACUUUUUUAUUUUUUUGCUACCUUAUGUCACCUCCAGCAUCUUUGACUUUCUGUAACUUAUGUUUUCUACUUGGCAGUGUUUUUCCAGAGCAACUUGUCAUGGGCAUGGCCUGUGCCUCCACAUCUCAAAGAGCAAAGCUUCCAAUGUUUAAUUCUUCAAUCAACACAGCAAGUUUUAGGAAACAGUUCUCUUGUGGUGUGAGCAAAGCACUUGCGUGGUUUAUUCAGAGGUUGCUCAGGAACACAUUGCCUGUUUCUUGUUCUGUCGGUACCUCUGCUGCCACAUUAUUUGUGUAAUAGUAACCUCAGGAGAGGUUGUAGUCCUCCAAAAUAGGUAAGCCCUAUUUCUAAAGCCAGCUGAAAAAAUUAGUUUUUAAAUAACACUCAUUUAUAUAUCCAUAUCCACCCCAAAAUACUGAAGGUAAAAUUUAGCCUGGGUGCAUCCACUCUAUUGGUAGUAGUAAUAGUAGUUACCAUGCACCAGGAAAAGGAAGGGGGGAAAUAAAGAAAAAACAUUUUUCUUUUGAGAAAAAAGAUACCAGUGUUAAUGAGCUUUUCAUCAAAAUUGGUUUUAGUUUUUAUUUCUCUUGGUUUAUCUUUGUCUUUGCUCUGGACUAGGGAGAGUAAAAGCCCUUUGGAGCUCGUGUGGACAAAGAGAAAAAUCUAAAGUUGCUUUUGGAGGAAUUGUCAGAAGUUUACAAAAGCAAAACUACAGACUUUAUGAAGUUCCUGUAAAGUCUGGUAUGAGCCCCUUCAAAUACAAAGGACAGAGGAAACAUGGGUGGCUCCAUUCCUAAAAUUCAUCAUUGUCCUAACUGUUUUGGGAUGGUGCCCAGACCUUCUUUGGGGACAUCUGGAGGUGAUGCUUCCUGUCACAGAGGCAGGAAGUGCUGUACUGCCUACAGGAUUGUCUCUCAGAGGGCACAGUCAGUUGCUGCUUAAGAGAGUGCUGUGUUCCAAUGCAAAGUGACAAUCACUGUGUGCCAUGCCACGCACCAUCUUGUGCGUUAGGGCAGAUUCAGAACAAAAUAAAAUCUGACCCUGGAGCCAGUGUACACUUGAUCAGGCAAGUCAUUUGGGACUCUGUUUUCAAAAUCAAGUUUGCAAGUGACAGAAAAUUAACUGUUUUAAUCAGAAAGGGAAGUCCAGGUGUUGCUGCAGCCAGAGGCUCCCAUGGGCAGCUUUUGCCGGCUUCAAGCUGCCCCUUUUGCCCUGUGUUCUAUGCUCCAUUUGUCUUUGCCCUUGAAAUAUCAAGAUAACCCAGAAGCCCGGCAUUUCCUUUCCCAUCACUGAGUCGAGCAGGGCAGAGCUGCUUCCCUUAACUGUGGGAAUCCAGACCUUAGGCCUGACAGUAGCUGGCCCAGUUGGAUUUUAUGUCAGUCGCAGAAGCAACCACCAUGUUCUUGGUGGGCAGGGGUGCUUGUUUUCUGGACACAGGUCAAGUUCCAGCUCUGGGGCUCGGCUGGGUCAGGAAUCAGAAAGGGCCUGAUGCACCAGGUCAGACUGUGGGAAGCUGUUUUCUUAGCUGAGGAGGUGCCAAGGAGAAUAGCUGGGGUCUAGCAGUUGGGAUCCAAGAGAAGAACACAGUGUCAAAACAGAACAUGACAUAGCACACACUAGGUGCAAAGAGGGCCGCACUCAUUGAGGAUCAGCAGUUCAUAGAGAAGAUAGAUGUACUUUUGGUUUGGCUCUCCCAGGAGGGUAACACCCAUCACUUGGUGUCAGAAUUGAUGAUGUCUCUUGCAGCCCCUUGUGACCCCUCCCAUGGAACUUUCCAGUGGAACACUGCAACACUAC